UAACAUUAAGCUAGAGAUAAUGCAAGAGAUGGAUGAGAGUUAGGUACUACACUAGUGUCGAACACAAGCUGCCUCCGCCGCGUCGUUGCUAAAAGAGAGAAAAAAAACUUUGGUGGGAAGAUGUGGCUGGAAAGGAAGUGGAGGCGGGGCUUUAGCCGAGAAGGGUAAUGGGGAGGGGUAAUGUUCAAGCGUUGGAGCUGGUGAUGAUCUGAAAGAAAAGCUACAAAGAGAGAGAGAGAGAGAAAGUGAGACAAAAAGAGGAGAGCAGAGUUCAAGCAGCGCAAG
rnacentral:lncRNA from 1 species